UAUAUACUCCCUCCGUCCGGAAAUACUUGUCCUCAAAAUGGAUAAAAUGGUUGUAUCUAUAACUAAAAUAAGUCUAGAUACAUCCAUUUCUAGGACAAGUAUUUCCGGACGGGGGGAGUAUGUA
rnacentral:pre_miRNA from 1 species